CGCACAGAUUACUCCAGGAGGGGGAAACACACCCGGUGUGGCGGAAAGACGGGACUCCUCGGGCCUGUAAACUGGACCACCUGAAGGGAGCGAAAAGGCAUGGGGAGGACCGAACAUAGGAUUAGAAAACCCACUGGUAUGUCCAUGCCCGUAUAACCGUUAGGGCCACUAAGGUUGUAGGGGGGAACAUUUCCAUCGUUUCUUCCGGCGCCGGUAGGCUAAACGCAAUUAAAGUGCCCCCGCCCUGGGGGAGUACGGUCGCCAAGGGCUAAAAACUCAAAGGGAAUUGACGGGGGGCCCGCAACAAAGCGGCCGGAGCAUUGCGGAUUAAUAUCGAUUGCAACGCGAAGAAACCUUACCAAGGCUUGACAUACACUGGACCGUUCUGGAAAACAGUUCUUCUCUUUUGGAGCUGGUGUACAGGUGGUGCAUGGUUGUCGUCAGCUCGUGUCGUGAGAUGUUGGGUUAAGUCCCGCAACGAGCGCAACCCUCGUUCUAUGUUGCCAGCACGUGAUGGUGGGAACUCAUAAGAGACUGCCGGGGUCAACUCGGAGGAAGGUGGGGAUGACGUCAAAUCAUCAUGCCCUUUAUGUCUUGGGCUUCACGCAUGCUACAAUGGCUGGUACAGAGAGAGGCGAACCCGUGAGGGUAAGCGAAUCCCUUAAAGCCAGUCUCAGUUCGGAUCGUAGUCUGCAAUUCGACUACGUGAAGUCGGAGUCGCUAGUAAUCGCAGAUCAGCAACGCUGCGGUGAAUACGUUCCCGGGCCUUGUACACACCGCCCGUCAAGUCACGAAAGUCGGUAACACCCGAAGCCGGUGUCCCAACCCACUUGUGGGAGGGGGCCGUCUAAGGUGGGACUGGUGAUUGGGACUAAGUCGUAACAAGGUAACCGUAAAAUAAGGAGCCCA
rnacentral:rRNA from 1 species